AACAUGUUAUUAUACUCAAAAAUUCAAACACAUAGUACUAUAUAUGUUCCAUAAUUUUUAGCAAACUCCCAAUAAAUUCAACUAUUAGGCAUUGCAAAUUGCUAAACCACACAUAGAUGAACUAAACUAACUUAGACGUCUAAGCGUUCUGAAUACACUAGCAUUAGUAUCAGUAGUAUUUAAUUAGAACUGAAAAGAAAUUACAAAUUCAAUAGAAGAAGAACAACAUAAAACAUCUAGCUAAGCACAAAUUCGGAGUUAUAUCCCAAAUCAAUAUUUUACAAUUCCAUUUUUAUCACUUCAAAGCUCAUCAAUAUACUUGGAUACAACAAAAGAAAAUAAAAUAAGAACUUCAGCGAAGAAUGAGUAAGAGACAACAGUUGGUCAAAAACAGUAGCAACUUCAACUUAAUACAUAAUCAAGCCCAGAAAACCAGAAAUCCGGAGAAGGUUUUUCUAAGUUCUCGCUAAAGGAAAUUAGAAGAAAUAAAAACCAGCUCCCAAUAGAACAAAGCAGAACUUUCUGGAGUGUAUUUUAGGAUUUGAAAUCUCUCCUAAAAUAUAAAGAAUGCCAUAUGCUGAAAAGAAUAAGGGAAUUAUUCCCUUCAGCCACAAAAGAAUGUUUUAACAGAAUUUGGACAGUUGGCAGUCCCUAAUUGGUUCCACUAUUUUACACUGGCCAAAUAGGGCCAGCUUCCCAUAUUCUAGAACCUUCUCACAUGGCCUUAUCUGAAUUUCCUAUCCCAAUACCCUUCCAAGACCCCUUAAGUUUUCCUUUUGUUUAAUUGACCCCUAGAAGUUUCCACUAUUUGCAAAGUAGGGUAAACACAAACGAGCAUGCCAAUGUAAAUCAAGCAACAAAACUAGACAAUGUGAUCAAAUUUUGAACACCUGAAAAAUAAACCAAAAAAAUGAGCUAAUUUCAAGAUGAAUUUCUGAUUUAAACAACAUGCAAUCCAGUUCAAAUGGCUAAGGACAAACCAACACGAAACACAACAAAAUAUUACUAAAUCAGAUUGAAUCUAAGAGACAAUUAAUGACGGAUGAACUGGUAUGGAACAUUCAAAUCAAAUGAAUAACAAUAACACAAAAUAACUGAAAUAACCUAAAACAUGCAACUGAACGCGAAAACGAGAAAGAACAAAAGAAACGAAAAACAACAUAAGAAACAAUUAUGAUUCAACUAAUGUACUACUUAACUAACAGCAACAAAAGAAGACAGAAAUAAAACCCUAAUAAGCUUCAUUUUCAUUUGUUUUCAUAAGUGUGAACCAGAACACGGAUAGAAUAAAAUAAAAUAAGAACAAGAAAACAAAGAAAAUGUAGUACCUAACAGGACACAAGAAGAACAGAACGGACCCCGAGUUCGGCUUUGAUACAGCUAAAAAUCGACCCUGUUCUCGUCAAGAACAAUUGUUUGGGGUGAAUCUCAAAACUAAUCGACAGAUACAAAUGGCGAGGAAGGGACAUGCAUGACCCAGUGCUAUUGGGGUUCUUAGAUCCAAAAUUUAAGGAGUUAUAUGGGGUUUUGAUGGGAAAUGUUUGGUGAUUUGUGUUGAGGAGGAGGGGGGUGUAGGGUCUGAGUUUAGCGUUGUUUGGAGGAGUUUGAGUGGACUAGGGUAUGGGGCUUCAGAUCUGAAUUUGACGAAUUUGGAUAGUGUCUUGGGGAAAACUAGCGAGGGAUUUGUAAAGAGAAGGAAAUGAGGAUUGAAUGGUGUUAUUUUGGUCGGAUUUGGGGUGUCGCCACCGCCGUAGGGUGAUUUCCGGCGGCGGAAGGCGGCAGAGACGGUGAAGGGGUUACAAGGCGGCUAGGGUUAUGUGUUUAGAGAGAGUUUGAGAGAAGAAUGAACUAGGAUGUUUAGGGUUUGGGGGGUAGGAGGGGGGUCUGUUUGGACAUAUUUAAGGGAAAUGGGAGGGGAUAGUUCCAAUCCAUUAGAUCAUCAGGAACGAAGGGCUAGAAUUAACAAUGACAAACGACGUCGUUUUGGU
rnacentral:lncRNA from 1 species